rnacentral:rRNA from 1 species
UACGUAGGGGGCUAGCGUUGUCCGGAAUCAUUGGGCGUAAAGCGCGUGUAGGCGGUCCGGUAAGUCCGCUGUGAAAGUCGAGGGCUCAACCCUCGAAUGCCGGUGGAUACUGUCGGGCUAGAGUACGGAAGAGGCGAGUGGAAUUCCUGGUGUAGCGGUGAAAUGCGCAGAUAUCGGGAGGAACACCAGUAGCGAAGGCGGCACUCUGGGCCGUGACUGACGCUGAGGAGCGAAAGCGUGGGUAGCAAACAGG